ACCAGACCUUCUCCUACCCAGCACCCCACUUCUUCUACUAGACCUUCUUUUAGUGCCACUGUCAGACCUGGCUUUCCUCCACUUCACCUCGGACCUUUUGCUUGCACCCAGAGCAAAUCAACCACUCCGUCUUCCUCCUCCUCAUCUUAUCCUCCUGACCCCAUUAUUAGGGAAGUGCCAGAUAAAGACUAGAGUCUUUAUCUUAAAUUAUCCCAA
rnacentral:lncRNA from 1 species